UAUCGUGUACAUAUAUAUAAAUUGUUAUAGAUGUAUAUAUUGGGGAGAGAGGAGGUAUAUGAAAAAAAAAGGAAGAAACUAAGAUAGGAAAUUUUGGAGAAAGGAAAAGAAAAUUAACGGGUAAUGCUCCAAAACAAAAGGUGAGCUGAUUUUUAUGGAAUUAAUUUGCGCACAUACUCACACUUUUAGAAUCAAGGGUUGUGGACGGGAAGCAUGAACAAGUGCCCGACUAGAAAAAUUACCUUGUCGUAAUCAGGGGAAUUAGGGAUGCCGACAGAUUGUUAGGUGAGAUGACGAGCUGUGGUUUGAGGCCGAGCGUAAUCAGUAAUCAGUUACAACUUGUUAAUGGUGGGAUGCUUGAGAAAGCUCUGUACUUACAUGACGAGCUCAAGUCUUCCAGCUUAUCUCCUACUGCAAUGUCCUGGCUGCAGGAUGCUCAACAAAUGUCUAUACUUAUGAUAAAAAGGGUGGCGCAAUGAAGGAAUGGCACUUGUGUGAGAUGGAAGUCGAACUCAAUAAUGUAAUGGAGUAUACUAUUGCAUACAAUGUUGCUUCUAUAAAGCAUUGAAGCUGCUAAAACAAAUGUUUGAAAAGGGCGUGGUGCCUUAUGUAACUAGUUACAACAUGAAAAUCCCGGGAGAUGGGAAACGAGAUGUGCUUCAAAAUCCAGCUUAAAAUCAUCUGAUCAGAGGCUGUCAGCAGUGAAUUUUUUCAACUUGAGACAUCAAAUGGAGAGGAUGCAGUCCGAGUACUUCUGGGACUUCGAUGAUCUUUGGUAAGCUUACAUAACUUCCAUCUAUUAUGUUCAAAGAUCGGAAAAGCCCUCUUCUAAAAGUGAUUUAUGUUAGUUAAUAUGCAAAAUAAGAGACUUAAACAAUUAUCAAAGUGCAGUUUUAGUUUAUAGAGCAAGGGGUAAUUUGUAGGUAUAGUAAAAGACAUAGUGCUAGCAAUGUGGCAUUGGUAGUCAGACCUCAGGUUCAUAUCCUAAACUACCCCAAUUUGGUUUAAACAUAUGCAAAGUUGCUAUGAGCUUCCACUCUCACCACAGCAGCAAAGCUGCAGUAAAAUGCCAAAGGGCUACAGUGGUUUGGAGGAAUACUGUUCAAAGCAACAUAUCACUUUUCAUGGCUGCAAAGCACUAUCCGCGCACGAGCCAAAUUUCUCCCCUUUCAGUAUUUUUGUAUGUUCUGCUCAGUCAGUCUUUUGUAUAGAUUUUAUAUUAUGAUA